CCUACGGGAGGCAGCAGUGGGGGAUAUUGCACAAUGGGGGGAACCCUGAUGCAGCGACGCCGCGUGGGUGAAGAAGGGCCUCGGCGCGUAAAGCCCUGUCAGCAGGGAAGAAAAUGACGGUACCUGAAGAAGAAGCCCCGGCUAACUACGUGCCAGCAGCCGCGGUAAUACGUAGGGGGCAAGCGUUAUCCGGAUUUAAUGGGUGUAAAGGGGGCGCAGACGGGGAUGCAAGCCAGGAGGGAAAGCCCGGGGGCCAACCCCGGGACUGCUCUUGGAACUGCGUGGCUGGAGUGCAGGAGGGGCAGGCGGAAUUCCUGGUGUAGCGGUGAAAUGCGUAGAUAUCAGGAGGAACACCGGUGGCGAAGGCGGCCUGCUGGACUGCAACUGACGUUGAGGCCCGAAAGCGUGGGGAGCAAACAGGAUUAGAUACCCCAGUAGUC
rnacentral:rRNA from 1 species